CACGUAGUUAGCCGUGGCUUGCUCCUUAGUUACCGUCAUUAUUCUUCACUAAGAACAGAAGUUUACAAUCCGAAAACCGUCUUCCUUCACGCGGCGUUGCUGCAUCAGGCUUUCGCCCAUUGUGCAAUAUUCCCCACUGCUGCCUCCCGUAGGAGUCUGGGCCGUGUCUCAGUCCCAAUCGUGGCCGUUCAACCUCUCAGUCCGGCUACUGAUCGUCGACUUGGUAGGCCGUUACCCCACAACUAUCUAAUCAGACGCGAGUCCAUCCUUAGGCGCCUCAGCUUUGGAUAUCUACGAUGCCGUUAAUAUACUUUAUAUGGUAUUACCGUCGUUCCAGACGCUAUCCCUUUCAAGGGCAGGUUACUCACGCGUUACUCACCCGUCCGCCACUCAGUCAGUAUCAGAUUUCUUCCGAAGAAUCCAUCAUCAAGCUUCGUCACUUGCAUGUGUUAGCACGCCGCAGCGUCGUC
rnacentral:rRNA from 1 species